rnacentral:rRNA from 1 species
AAAUAUAUACUCACAUUAACAAACGCCCGGGUAUUACGAGCCUCAGCUUAAAACCCAAAGGACUUGACGGUGUCCCAUCCAACUAGAGGAGCCUGUUCUAUAAUCGAUAACCCCCGAUACACCUAACCCCUCCUUGCCAAUCAGCCUGUAUACCUCCGUCGCAAACUUACCAUAUGAAUGCCAAUAGUAGGUUAAAUGGUUAUAUCACCAACACGUCAGGUCAAGGUGCAGCUCAUGAUAGGGAAAGCAAUGGGCUACAAUUUCUAAAAUAGAACACACGGAAUGCUGCAUGAAACACAGCCGCGAAGGCGGAUUUAGUAGUAAAAAGAAAAUAAAGUGUCCUUUUUAAUAAGGCCCUGGGACGUGU